AUCAGCCCUCACACUCACCAACCCACCAAAAUACAGCUGUUUCCUUUGUCCUCAACCCACAAUUUUAGUUCCAAAAAACCUAAUAAACAACAAACUUAUUCUUACUCUAAUAAAUACCUCCCAAUCCUCAAUCUCUCAGUGCAUUGUGAUAUACAUUCCCAGGUUUUCUUUUCACUGAUAUCCCCAAACUAACACUUGUUAGCAAUAUGAAAAAGCUUUUCUUUUUCACAUUUUUGCUUUGCUUUCUUCUCUUCACAUCUUCCUUCAUAGACACUGUCAAUGCCAAGCCUGUGUUUUGCGACAAGAAAUGCAAGAAGAGAUGCUCAAGGGCAGGAGUGAAGGAUAGAUGCAUGAAGUAUUGUGGGAUUUGCUGUGGGUAUUGUAAGUGUGUUCCUUCUGGAACUUAUGGGAACAAACAUGAGUGCCCUUGUUAUAGGGACAUGAGAAGUUCUAAGGGUAGGCCCAAGUGCCCUUGAGAUGUCAAAUGCCUCCUCAACAACUAUGCAAUGUAAUCGUUUUCUAAAAAUUUGAUACACUAAAUGUUGAGUGGUUAAGUUGAGCGUUGUUUGUAAGUUUGCAUGAGUUCAUAGAUAAUGUUCUUCUAAACUUUAUGGACGAGUCAAGAGAUGUGUUUAUCAAUAAAAAUAAUCUCUAUCUUUAAUGUGAGAUGUUGAGAUUUAAACAA